GUCUACAGCCAUGCCACCCUGAACAAUGGCUGAUAUCUGAUCAGAAGUUAAGCGGGUUCGGGCCUGGUUAGUCCUUGGACGGGAGACCACCUAGGAAGACCAGGUGCUGUAGGCA
rnacentral:rRNA from 1 species